CUCUUUGCAAGUCAAAACCAUUCGCGUUUUCCUCAUACCAGGCUGCUUUUCAUUUCCCCUGGAGCUGCUUCCUUGUUCAGGUAAGUACGGUGGCCGACAGGGGCAAACGCACUGCAACGACCCACAACACAUGCAGAAGGAGAAACGAGCUGCAUAUUCACAAAUGCUGCGGAUUACUAAAACACCGCAACUAUACCAACUCGACUCUGAGAACAAGAAUGAUACGCACAAUAUCCAUAGGAGGAGGAAAAAGGUUGGCUGGACUUCCAACCCGAACCAAGCGAGCAAUUCGAGUAUCCUCCUGCUGCUUUAGCCACACACUGUGGCAUCCCUUUGGAGUUGGCAGUUGGCAUUUUUUGGGACUUGGUGAACUCAGUGAAGAGCUGCCACUACGAACCGUUUCAGAACAGCUUGAUGACUGAACCUAACACGGUGAGAUGAAAGGGUUCAUUUGGCGAUGGGACUGACAGGCAACUAUUUUUUUUAAUUCUAUUUUAAAUGAAAUAAAACACAUCUUCCUCUGGUGA